UAUGCCUACGGGACGCAGCAGUCGGGAAUAUUGCGCAAUGGAGGAAACUCUGACGCAGUGACGCCGCGUGCAGGAAGAAGGUUUUCGGAUUGUAAACUGCUUUAGAUAGGGAAGAAAAAAAUGACAGUACCUAUAGAAUAAGCUCCGGCUAACUACGUGCCAGCAGCCGCGGUAACACGUAGGGAGCGAGCGUUAUCCGGAUUUAUUGGGUGUAAAGGGUGCGUAGAUGGAUAAACAAGUUGGUUGUGAAAUCCCUCGGCUUAACCCCGGGACUGCUUUGGAAACUGUAUGGCUGGAGUGCUGGG
rnacentral:rRNA from 1 species